rnacentral:rRNA from 1 species
CGGACGGGUGAGUAACGCGUGAGGAACCUGCCUCAGAGAGGGGGAUAACACACCGAAAGGUGUGCUAAUACCGCAUAACAUAUGAGAGGGGCAUCCCUUUCAUAUCAAAGAUUUAUUGCUCUGAGAUGGCCUCGCGUCCAAUUAGCUAGUUGGUGAGGUAACGGCCCACCAAGGCGACGAUUGGUAGCCGGACUGAGAGGUUGAACGGCCACAUUGGGACUGAGACACGGCCCAGACUCCUACGGGAGGCAGCAG